UCUCCGGCCGAUGGAGCGGGGCCAGCGGCGGCUGGUAGAAGCGGGAAACGGGCGGGGCGGAGCGGCUGGCCGGCGGAUCGGGGCGGGCAGCGGCCGGUGCAGCGGCGAGGCUGGAUGCGGCGGUGCGACCUGGCGACUGGGCCGAGGCGACGGCGGCGCGAGCCUUGGCGAUGGCGGUCGGGCGCCAGUCGGCCCAGUGCGGUAGCGGCCUGAGGGAGCCCAGGCAGUGUCAGGCGAAUGGGGAGAGAAGGCCGGCGCGAGAGCCAGCCACGCCGGCCGGCGAAGUUGUAUGCGGCAAUAUGGGGAGGAGCAGAAGACGAAGUGGCUGGACGCCGUCCAUGGCGGCUAGCCGGCUAGGGUUCACUGUGUCCGGUGGCGAGAGGGGAACACGAGAGUGGUAGGAAUGGAUUGACCCGAGAGGCCGAGACCAGAGUGAGUCCACAGUUCUGCACCUGGUUUGCCUUGCCUCUGCUCUGCUCCCUCCAAACUCCAAAUUAACAGAGAGAGGCUCUCCGCUUUGCAAAUUUUGGAGGAGAUGGAGCUCCAUCACCAUGGAAGCAGCAGCGUCUGAGGUUAGGCAAGGCAAGCUGCCGCCCAGCCGCCGUCAGCCGGGCACGGCCACGUCGACGCGCCCGCUCCGAGCACCGCCAGCGGCUGCUGUCCUUCCCCCUGCCGCCAAGCUCCCUCCUCACCGCGCCGGCCUUCUCUCCCUCAGGCCUCUGCCGCGCUGGGCUGACUAGCGCCCGACCGCCGUUGCCUCGGCCCGGUCGCCAGGUCGCGCCGCCGCAUCCAGCCUCGCCGCUGCACCGGCCGCUGCCCGCCCUGCUCCGCCGGCCAGCCGCUCCGCCCCGGAUAGAGAGAGAGAGAGGAGUGAGGAGUGAGGAUGACAUGUGGGGUCCACGUGGGUCCCACCAUUUUUUAAUUAUUUUAUUUGUGGAACUGACAUGUGGGUCCCACGGGUUUUAUUAUUUUUUCUAGACCGAAUUGCCACUUAGGCACCAUGUCAGUGCCAUGCCAGAUGAAUAUCAGGUCAAAUUAGCCACGUAGGCGCCAUGUCAGCCAAAACCGCCCUCAAAAUCACCGAGGGACCUCAUCUGCACUAGUUUUGAUAGUUGAGAAAUCCGUUGUGUUUGGUUUUUCGGUUGAGAGACGAAAAUCGGAUUCGUUGACAAGUUAAGAGAUCUCAGAUGAACUUAUUCCUUUUAUAGGUGGAGCGAAACGAAACAGAAGGCAAAGUGCUCUCUCUACAUACCAGUUCGAACCUGCGAGCUGCGACUCUGCGUGGUGAGGAAUUCUUCAGACUUGGAUGGCGAGGACCAGAACCAACCAAGGAAGAAUUUAGAAUUCCAAAAUCGGUCGAGCCGGACGGUUGCGUGCUCCCGUGCGCCCAUUAUUCGCGUUGAAUGGAAUUUCAUUUAAGAUUUCCGUCAUCCGUUCAAGAUCGGCUGCAACGCAGGCCUCGAUGACCCGAUCUGCCGCUGCUGCUGGCCAUGCAUUUCCCGGGCAGGAGGGAACGAGGAACAAGGAGGAGGAGGUCGCGUGCACGGGUAGCUUCUGCGUGCAUCGUGCGUACGUACGCGAGCAUCUCUUUUCUGUUUUGUGCGGUCUCCACUCUGCUGUUUCAUCGGUACUACGUGCCAGCUAACUCAGUUGUUGCACGUCUCUAGAAUUUUUUUUUUUUUUGCAGAAUGGAAGUCUUUUCUUCGUGAUAUAAUAAUAAGUUCUUUGACAGAUUAA